rnacentral:rRNA from 1 species
CCCUUAGAUGUCCUGGGCCGCACGCGCGCUACACUGAGUGUCUGAGAUAUGAGGCAUGCCUGGUCCGGCAAGGUCUAGGUAAUCACGAAAAGGCACAUCAUGCUUGGGAUUGAUUAUUGCAAAUUUUAAUCAUGAACGAGGAAUUCCCAGUAAGUGCGAGUCAUCAGCUCGCGUUGAUUACGUCCCUGCCCUUUGUACACACCGCCCGUCGCUACUACCGAUUGGGAAAAUUUUAGAGAGUCCUGGACUGAUGAUUGUUCGGCUUCACGGCCUUACUUUCGUCGGGAAAGAAUUCGAUAAUAUUUUUCUAGAGGAAGUAAAAGUCGUAACA